CUGGUUCACUUUGAGGUAGCCUA
rnacentral:siRNA from 1 species